rnacentral:ncRNA from 1 species
GUAAAGGCUGAGAAGAAAAAAGUAGUAUUUACGGAACGCACAGAGAGGUCGGCAAUUUGGUGUGAGCAGACUGCGGGAAAGAAAUACGAAGUGCGUUUCGGAGCUGGUUAAGUGAAACAAAGUAGCUUAACACGUUGACCGCGUUACGGUUUUUGAGUGAGGGUAUAUCCCUAACUAGAGUGGAACCACGAAACUUCGUCUCUAAU